rnacentral:rRNA from 1 species
GAUCAAGCGACUAAGUGCAUACGGUGGAUGCCUUGGCGACUACAGGCGACGAAGGACGUGGAAGCCUGCGUUAAGCUGCGG